UUAAAAGCAAUGAUUGGAAGAGUAAGUAAGGUUAAAGAUUAAAGAGAGCAUCUUAAUAUGCUGUAAUAAGAUGUAUCUUUCCUUUCCGAACCACAUCCAUGAGCUAGUAUAUCGAACUUAAGUAGGUAUAUUCGGGUAGUUUCGUUAGCAACGUGAGUUAUAAACUCAAUGAGGUUAUUUCUGCGAAGAAAUAACAAAGAUGAGGUGGAACCGUACUUACUAUCAGUGCCCUCUUA
rnacentral:ncRNA from 1 species